rnacentral:lncRNA from 1 species
UUUUACUUACUCUUAUUUAUGUUUUUAUACUCAAUUAAAUAAAAAAAUUAUCAAAUUUUAUAACUUUUAAUUAAUCUAAUUUUAUCUACUAAAAGCAUUAAAUUUAUUAAUUUUAAUAAACUUAUCAACAAAUUUGAUAAAAUUUUAGAAUAUUUUGAUUCUCAACUAAGAAAUACAAUUUGAAAAUCAGAUGGAAAGGCUGAUUCGAUUGGUUCGAUCGUGACUCAGCCUAUUAAGCAGUUAGAUGCAACUUUUGUAACUGGAUAAUUUAAAAAAAUCGUUUUGAAUUAUUCAAACCAAUGGUUUAACUAUCGAACCGAUGAAUCGGUUUGAUCUUAAUCAAGCUGGCUGAAUUUUUUUAUCAAGUCUUAUUAGAAUCGAACAAAUUAAAAUCAAUUUGAUUUAUUUUAUUUUCUAUUAGUAUAGAUUAAUCUUAUAGAAAAAUUAAAAAUUUAUAUCAACUUAAUUUAGUUUAAAAAUUAAUACUUUAUAAUUAAGUAUGCUAUUAGAAUAACAAUAUGUAUACAUUUUUUAUGUAAUAAAUUUAAAAAUAUUUAUGACAUCAUGCUGGUGCACUAGUUUAGUUGA